AGUCAGGGCAACUCGAUGGAGCCGAUUAUUCACUGGCUGGAUGCCCUGCCUGAUGCCUAUGUGGAGUUUGCAGCAGGUAUUUUUUCCUUCCAUCCU